UUCAGUGCAAAAUUUCAAUUCUAUGACUUGUCAAUUACCAAAGUUUAUCACAGCAAUAUAAAAUAGAGUAAAAGUGAUCUUACGCUAGACUUCUGGAACAUCAUUGUUUAUUUUUCUUGCAAAUAUGUGUUUGUAUGUAUCAAGAUGUGGGAGAUAUGCUGUCUGGCACUACAUAGCACAUCCUGAAACUUUCCAAAUAAUAAUAGGAAAAUAAAUAUUUACUUUGUUUUUCUCUUUUACAGCAUCAAAGAGUAUAAGCAGAAAAUAUGAAUCAAUCCUUACAGAAUAAAUUUCUAACCUGCCUUGGAAUGGAACACCCCAAGAAUACAAAGAAAGCCUCUUUUUGAGAAUAGGACUGGAUGAAAGGAGAACAUUAGAAGGGAGGUCCUCUUGGCAUCCAGCAGUGAUGCUGCCUUUGAGAGGCAUGACAUCUGCCUUUUAUUGAGAACUGAUGGGUCAGACCAUGUUAUGCUCCUCCGUUUCUAUGAAGCCGCUGUGAUCAGUAUCAUAUUUCCUCCAUGUCUGUAAAUAAUUUUGGAUAAGGAAGACCAAACACGUUAGAAAAGGUCACAGUGUCCCUGCUUCCCAGUAUCUGAAGACGCCACUCGGGGCAGAGGUUUCCCGUACCUUCAUGAAUUCCUCGCAGGACUUCAGCUGCUGGCACCGGAAAAGCAGCAGGAAGUUUUCUUCUGUGGGUAGCACGUGGGCCAGCUGGAAAGAUGGACGAAGCUGGUCAAAGGCGCUUGAACGCAAGUCUCCCUCAUUUCCUGCUCUUAGUUUUGCUUGACCAUAAUUUUAUUACCCGGAAAACUAGGCGAGGAGCAACAUGGCCAUCGAUUUUCCCUUUCGGUACUUUGUCCCUACAAAGCGCCACCGUGUUUUGCAGCGCUUGCUGCCCUCGAGGGACCGGUUCUCGGGUCAGCGAGAAGGCUGCAGCAGGCAUGCCUAGGCUGCCUUCUCAUCGCUCAAGGAACGGUGGCUGACACUUCUCAUCGCUAGACACACGAGCAGGCUCCUCCCGGUGGCUCGGGCCCUGCACCUUUCCUGUGCCACAGAUCAGGCCUUUUCCUGCGAGGGCCCGGAGGAUGGCACACGUGGGACCAUACAUUUCAUAGAAGAAGAGGCUGAGAGAGAUGAAUGUAGCGGAGAGGACACAAGGCCAAAAAUGAAUUCUGAAGUCGGAGGAGAAAGCUUGUUAAGAGAUGCAAUGCAAUAUAAACUCAGGACAAUGGUAAAACAAUAGAGAGAGAUGGGAACAGACACUUAACAGUGAGCAGUGGGGGCUGAAUGGCAAUAGGGAAUAUCAGUUCUCAAAUGUUUGGCGUCUGCUAAAAGGACAUCUGUUGCUUGAGUCCAGGGCUUAAAUUUUAUUUGAUGAUCUCCCUUGAGUGACCCGAAGACAUUUCUCCUAAGAUCUCAUUUUGUAACUUCAGUGCUCCUUUUUUUUUUUUUUUUUUUUU